GACGAACGCUGGCGGCGUGCUUAACACAUGCCAGUCGAACGGAAAGGCCCUGCUUUUGUGGGGUGCUCGAGUGGCGAACGGGUGAGUAACACGUGAGUAACCUGCCCUUGACUUUGGGAUAACUUCAGGAAACUGGGGCUAAUACCGGAUAGGAGCUCCUGCUGCAUGGUGGGGGUUGGAAAGUUUCGGCGGUUGGGGAUGGACUCGCGGCUUAUCAGCUUGUUGGUGGGGUAGUGGCUUACCAAGGCUUUGACGGGUAGCCGGCCUGAGAGGGUGACCGGCCACGUUGGGACUGAGAUACGACCCGGACUCGUACGGGAGGCAGCAGUGGAGAAUAUUACACAAUGGGCGGAAGCCUAGUGCAGCAACGCAGCGUGCGGGAUGACGGCCUUCGGGUUGUAAACCGAUUUCGCCUGUGACGAAGCGUGAGUGACGGUAAUGGGUAAAGAAGCACCGGCUAACUACGUG
rnacentral:rRNA from 1 species